rnacentral:rRNA from 1 species
CAGUAGCCGCGGGAAUACGUAGGUGGCAAGCGUUGUCCGGAAUUAUUGGGCGUAAAGGGCUCGCAAGCGGUUUCUUAAGUCUGAUGUGAAAGCCCCCGGCUCAACCGGGGAGGGUCAUUGGAAACUGGGAAACUUGAGUGCAGAAGAGGAGAGUGGAAUUCCACGUGUAGCGGUGAAAUGCGUAGAGAUGUGGAGGAACACCAGUGGCGAAGGCGACUCUCUGGUCUGUAACUGACGCUGAGGAGCGAAAGCGUGGGGAGCGAACAGGAUUAGAUACCCCAGUAGUCCCUGUCUCUUAUAC